GUCGCUGCCAAAUCAGCGAACGGGCGUAGGAACCCGAGUUAAUCAAGGCGCAACAGCGCCCCAUCAGCUAUUGCAGGCGCUUUUUUU
rnacentral:sRNA from 1 species